ACUCAAAUGAAUAGACGGGGGCCCGCACAAGCGGCGGAGCAUGCGGAUUAAUUCGAUGCAACGCGAAGAACCUUACCUGGGUUUGACAUAUGCGAGAACUCUCUAGAGAUAGAGAGCUCUUUGGACACUCGCAUACAGGUGGUGCAUGGCUGUCGUCAGCUCGUGUCGUGAGAUGUUGGGUUAAGUCCCGCAACGAGCGCAACCCUCGUCUUAUGUUGCCAGCACGUAAUGGUGGGGACUCAUAAGAGACUGCCGGGGUCAACUCGGAGGAAGGUGGGGAUGACGUCAAGUCAUCAUGCCCCUUAUGUCCAGGGCUUCACGCAUGCUACAAUGGCCGGUACAAAGGGCUGCGAUACCGCAAGGUGGAGCGAAUCCCAAAAAGCCGGUCUCAGUUCGGAUUGGGGUCUGCAACUCGACCCCAUGAAGUCGGAGUCGCUAGUAAUCGCAGAUCAGCAACGCUGCGGUGAAUACGUUCCCGGGCCUUGCACACACCGCCCGU
rnacentral:rRNA from 1 species